AUCUUGGAGAUAACGGUUGAGCAGAUUCACGGAUUAAUGUCACAGGUUAUAAAGGACAUACUAUUCAAUUCAGUUAGACAGCCCAGCGGUGGCAGCAGCAGCAGCAGACACAGUUGCUGUGAACAUUCUUCUGGUCCUGAACCUAUGGUUGAAACCUAAUCAAAAUCCUCAAUGGAUUAGCAACUCUGUUUCUGACAUAUAUUUUCCUCUCUCUUUAAACCCCUACCCUAAACCUUGACGUUUUUUUUGCUCUAUGUGAAUUGAAGAAAGCUAAGGAUAUUCAGCAGCUUAUUCUCCCAUGGGUUUACUUUGCCAAUUGCUUUUGCUUAGGUAUGUUUGAUACAAUUCAGUUUAUAUGUUCCAGCUUAUUUGCUGCUAAUUGGUUUGAUGGUGUUAUGAGAGAGACAAAAUAAGAGAUAACAUGGUUGUUU